GACGAACGCUGGCGGCGUGCUUAACACAUGCAAGUCGAACGGAAAGGCCCUGCUUUUGUGGGGUGCUCGAGUGGCGAACGGGUGAGUAACACGUGAGUAACCUGCCCUUGACUUUGGGAUAACUUCAGGAAACUGGGGCUAAUCCCGGAUCGGAGCUCCUGCUGCAUGGUGGGGGUUGGAAAGUUUCGGCGGUUGGGGAUGGACUCGCGGCUUAUCAGCUUGUUGGUGGGGUAGUGGCUUACCAAGGCUUUGACGGGUCGCCGGCCUGAGAGGGUGACCGGCCACAUUGGGACUGAGAGACGGACCAGACGCCUACGGGAGGCAGUAGGGGGGAAUAUUGCACAAUGGGCGGAAGCCUGAUGCAGAAACGCCGCGUGCGGGAUGACGGCCUUCGGGUUGUAAACCGCUUUCGCCUGUGACGAAGCGUGAGUGACGGUAAUGGGUAAAGAAGCACCGGCUAACUACGUG
rnacentral:rRNA from 1 species